UACGAGUGCUUCGAGCGUUAUCCGGAAUCAUUGGGCGUAAAGGGUGUGUAGGCGGCUAUGUUAGUCUCGCGUUAAAUCUUUCGGCUCAACCGAGAGGCCGCGCGGGAAACGGCAUGGCUAAGAGGACGGUAGAGGUCACUGGAACUCAUGGUGUAGCGGUGAAAUGCGUUGAUAUCAUGGGGAACACCGAAAGCGAAGGCAAGUGACUGGACCGCUCCUGACGCUGAAACACGAAAGCGUGGGUCGCGAAUGGG
rnacentral:rRNA from 1 species